UAUCUCUGUAGAGUCUGCAUAUCAAUAAGCGGAGGAAAAGAAACUAACAAGGAUUCCCUUAGUAACGGCGAGUGAAGCGGGAAGAGCUCAAAUUUGAAAUCUUCAAGGUUCUACCUUGACGAAUUGUAGUUUAAAGAAGUGUUUUCUGUUAGAUGAGUAGCAAAAGUUCCUUGGAAUGGGACAUCAUAGAGGGUGAGAAUCCCGUAUUUGGUUAUUCAUUCUAGCUUUGUGAUACACUUUCAAAGAGUCGGAUUGUUUGGGAAUGCAGUCCAAAAUGGGUGGUAAAUUUCAUCUAAAGCUAAAUAUUGGCGAGAGACCGAUAGCGAACAAGUACCGUGAGGGAAAGAUGAAAAGAACUUUGAAAAGAGAGUUAAACAGUACGUGAAAUUGUCAAAAGGGAAGCGUUUGACACCAGUGUUGUUUUUCCGAAAAUCAAUUACGAAUGGCUUGAUUCUGUGUUGUAUUGACCUUAUCAGCUUUCUUCACUUUUUUCGAGAUCUUUCUUAAUGCACUUUUCGGUUAACAAGUCAACAUCAAUUUCUUUUGUUGUAAAAGAGUAUUCGGAAGGUGGCUUUCUUUUCGGAGAAAGUGUUUAUAGCCCUAUACUUCUACAAUCGGAGAGAUUGAGGUCUGCAGCGUAGAUCCUUCGGGGUUAGAUACACUUGUGCUAAGUUGUAGCUUUUCAUAGACAACUUGUUGACUAUGUUUAGUCAUGCGGCUUACUCGCUUGUGCUAUUUUACCUACGCUUAGGAUGUUGACGAGACUGUCGAUCUC
rnacentral:rRNA from 1 species